rnacentral:rRNA from 1 species
AUUCCAGCUCCAAUAGCGUAUAUUAAAGUUGUUGCAGUUAAAAAGCUCGUAGUUGGAUUUCGGAACCGGCCGAUUGGUCCGUCCUCUGGAUCGUGUACUGAUCGGUCUGUUCUUCUUCGCGAAGACCACGUGUGCCCUUAACUGGGUGGGCGUGGGAUUCGCGACGUUUACUUUGAAAAAAUUAGAGUGUUCAAAGCAGGCAUUCGCUUGAAUAUCUCAGCAUGGAAUAAUAGAAUAGGACUUUGGUCUUAUUUUGUUGGUUUCCGAGACCGAAGUAAUGAUUAAUAGGGACAGUUGGGGGCAUUCGUAUUUCAUUGUCAGAGGUGAAAUUCUUGGAUUUAUGAAAGACGAACUUCUGCGAAAGCAUUUGCCAAGGAUGUUUUCAUUA